rnacentral:lncRNA from 1 species
GGGAUUGGGCUUUCAGGUAGGGACCAUGAGGGAAAGAAGGAAGGAAGAAGAAGGAGGAAGUUACUGUGAGAUAGGUGGAUCCUGAACUCAUGGUCAUGAGGACUCGCAUGUGGAGUAGGAGCAGCCCAGGCUGAACAUAGGAAGUGAUAUCUCAGAGUUAUUGACAGGGAAGUAGACAAAAUGGGACAGAGGGUUGAAAUCUGCCCAGCUCUAGUGUUUUUACAAUCAUUAUAAGUAUAAAGGUUUUUGUGUCUUUUAUUUGGGAGCUAUAUGGUCUAAAUAGGUUUAAAGAAAAAAAUCGUAUUUGCCACAACAGCUAACUUCCCUUGAACGUGGCUAUAUAUUGGAGCAAGAUGAUAGUUCUAUCAUAGUUCCUCAUCUGAAUGCUACAGUUUCAACCACUAACUGGUAUUUACCUUCGGUGCAGAAAGCAAGGAUUCUCACUGAUUAGUUAUAGUUCAACCAAAUGAUUUUGAAAUGAAGUUCACAGUACAAGCAGGCUGUGUGGGCUAGGGAGCAACUACCUUAACUUUAUGUGACUUGCUCAUGCUUCCAAAAGGCCACUCAACAACAGUGUGACAAACGCUUUCUGGUGAAAUAAACGCGCAGUUCAGGAAGGUACAGAUCGCUCGGUUUUGGCUUCGUGUGAAGCAUGUAAGUUUCCUGAGGAUCUCUAACUUAACCAGAAUCCUCUGGAAGCAGAACCUGAGAAGGGGAUUUCAGUGUGUUCCAGUAGCUCUGGGAGACCAUUAAGAAAAAGCUAGCAAGCACUUCACACCCAGAAGAACGGCUCUGCCUCUGGGUAGAGGCUUGCCGUGGUCUCCUCCCUUAGGAACUGAUCCAGGCGGAAAGGUCAAUUGCCUGGCUAAGGGACCAACCCUCAGGAGGGUGAAUUCACCUAAGACCAAUGAAGAGUGGGAGAAAUAGUUACACCUUCACCCUGGACAACGUACUUCUCUCUGCCAGAGCCCCCGCCUCAAGCAGUUGCUUACAGAACCGGAGCCAGGCAGCUUCCUACACUGGCCUGCUUUUCUGAAUUACUCAGAAACAGCUCACUUCUCCUUUUCUUCUUUCUGUUUCCCACACAUUUCCCCUCACUCCUUCUCUAAAGCCCUCUCUGCCCCUUUUACUAGGUAGUGACUUAUCUGCUAUGGCUACUUGCUAACCUUCCAUGCCUAACUCAAAAAGGCAUGUCUUUCUGUCUGAUUCUGUCUCCCUCCCCUAGGCAGCUGCCAAGACUGACAAAUCUCCUGCCUCUGGGUUUUUCUCUUAAAUUCUAAUAAAAUUUUCCUCAAGC